UGCGCAGGAUCCACCCCUGGAACUUUCCCCCCUCAACUCUCGCCUGUUUACUGAUCUCAACCCAGAGGGCUGCUCGGAGUAUAAUCCAUCUGAACCUCUUCCCUUUUUUAUACCCAGGCGACGUCAUCCUGGAUUUAGUUCCUGGUAAUAUGCAGAUGACAAACAAAACCAGAUUUGAUUUUUUUUUUCUCCCCUUUUUUGGUGGGGAAGAGGUGGGGGUUACACAAAGGAGUGAAAGCAGCCAGAGUCUGUGUAUUGAGAAUUAAUGAAAUUAACGUAAUCCUUUCCAUUAGUGGGCUUUUUAGAAAGGCCCCAGAUUUAGGCUUGAUCUCUGCUGCACCGGCUAAUUGCCCAGGUUAAUCUUAUUAAUGCCAUUGUGUAGAAGUGGUUAGCAGCUCCUAGUCUUGUCUAUUAUGCACCUACUUUGGUCGUGUUAGUUCACAUUAGUGGGUGCGAUUUCCUCUGUCUAAGGCUCAGAUUCAUUAUUUAUGCUUCGAACUGCUUAAGAAGCACUUAAAAAAAAAAGAAAUAAACUGCCACAUAAACAUGCAACGCCCCCCCACUCCAAGUGUUUCUGUAGCAGGAUUUGAAUCUUGCUCGGAGGACUGAACGGGCAUUGAAGAGUAUGUGUUUCUCUGACUUAAGGUUUAUGCAGUGAAACAACAACGUCUUCACUGAGUAACUGAACUAUUUUUUAUUAUUUUCCUAGGUCACCUGGCAGAACAAGGACACAUGAAUAUUGUAAACUUGUCUCUCUCUCCCCAUUUUCCGUUUUUUUUUUUCUUCCUUUUUUAACAGAUUCAGACAGGUAUCACUUUUUAUUUUUAAAACAAGCCAAGGGAAGCAAAAGUUAAAGACCAAUGCCAUCUCAAAUCCCCGCGUGUGAAUACUUCGUCUGUCACGACUGUCCCUGGGAAUCCACAGGAGGUGAACUGAAUAAGAUUAGACUAUUUACCCCAUCAACUCUCCAUCAAAGAAGGUGAAAGCAGCACCGCGGGACACGAGUGGGCACCGGAGGAGCCGCGGCGCCGGCGGAGCACAAACCGCCCGGGCCCGCCGGGCGCUCGGCUUCCCAAAGAGUUUUUUGCUCUCCUGACGGAUGAUCCACCAUGCUACAACUCUCACCUUCAUUCCUAAUUUAGAAAUUAUAUUUUCCAAAUAACUUUGUUCGCCCAGUGGGGACGGUGUCUUUUAUUUUGUUUUGUUUUAGUCUGAGUCGUUUUGCCGUGAAACCUCCGGUUUUGGUACCCGCUUCGCAAAACCUGCUCUCGGAGUUUCUCAUUUCCCAUGCGCUCUUUGCUAACCUGGCAAACGGAAAAUUGUGUUAAACAAACAAUCAGUUGUCACACAAUGUCGGGGUGAAAUUGUAAUAACAAAUGAAACACAAGCAAAUUGUGCUGCAUAGUGUUGCUAAGCAAUUGUUUGUUACGGCAGGGUGGUCACAGCAUGGGUUGAAAGAGGGAUCUAAAGAGGAGCAUAGCGCUGGGCAGAGCAAGCUGUUAGGUAUGAAAUACGGUAAACACGGCGCUGAUUUUCAAUAUUAUUACCCAAACACGAUUUCAUACAAAGCAAUCACCAUACACAAGUCUAUGAAAAUGCGGAGAAAUCGGACUUUUUUUUUUUUUAAUAUAUUAAAGAAUAAUUCCUGGGAUGCAAAACGCACCCAUCGCUUUCCCUGCGGAGUCUUUGACCGGCCUGGCAAAGCGGCACCGGGAUUGCCGGCCGGGAGGGGCCCGGGGCGCCGAACCCCAGCCCGGCCGGGGCUGGUCUCGGCCAGCAGGUCCGGCUGCGGCUCCCGCCCCACGCCGGGGGUAACGGGGUGAACCGGGGCUUUGGGGGAUGACCGGCGGCGAAACGGCGCUUCGCGGCACAUCUCUCACUUAUAAAUGCCAUCACCCUGCAGCGCUCCCCACGUUUGUUUCAAAUUGAUUGCAUCAUUGCUUCACCAGGAAAAAAAAAAAGUAUAAAAGUCAUACAAUGCGGAAUUACCGUAAUUUGUUCCCAGAAUAAACUUAUCUUGAACUGAUUAGGAAAGUCAGUCAUUUGAAAACGAGGCAGAAACGCGGUUGGGUAUUUUUCUGAAAGCUUCCCGCUAACAAUAUCAGCUUCUAAAGUUUUCAUUCAUAUAAACUUUAUUAAUGAAGAUCUUUUAUUUAAACGUCAAGAGGAUUUGAAAUUUAGAGUAAAUUAUGAAGCAUGCAUGUCUUGCCAAGUCAUGGGUCAAAUGCAUUUGUGAAAAACUGCUAAAAGAGCAUAUGGUUUUGAAUUUUUCUACAAUGACUAGUGUUUAAAUAAAUUGCUUGUACUGCUUAACUUCAUGUAUAAUUUUGACAGAAAUUGGCCUAUAGCCUUUUGAUAUGUAAACAUUUCAGGCUUUUAUGCGGUAUAAAAAGACACUUGCUUUUUGGGAUCAGCUAAAGCAGUCACCCUGUAAUUCAGCAAACUGGCACCUAACGUUACAUUCUUGCUGCAUUUCAACUUUCAAGUGGCAGCAUAAAGGGGGAAGGAAAAGGGACAUUUCAAAAGCAAUUGGAAUUAAAAACUGCGAAUGAGGUGGGAAUGUGCCACUCACUGUCUGAUUGAAAUGGAUAAACCUUAGCACUAAGAGAAUUCUCAGUCUUGUUUUCUAAAAAACAACAGAGGAAUCAGUGAAAACAGUCUUCAACGUAGCACAGACCUGACUCGCAUGUCAAAUUAAUGCCUUAAAACAAAGUCUGUCUAAAGUACAAAUAGGUGUGAUGAAGAAAACCCAGAUAUCCCUUCUGAAUUCUGCCAGCUGUUUCUCUUGUACAAACUAUCUUGGGCUGUAAAAAUUGAAACAGACUUUUAUACAUGGAAUAUUGCAUACAAUGUAUAUAAAUAUACCACUACUCUUGGAAAUGACACUUAGCUAGAUUCAUGUUCACUAGCAUUUCACCAGUUCUUACGUCUUUUGCAGUUUUUUCUCCAGUAAACAUUCCAUUGACUUCAAUUAGUGUUUUGUUUUGGUGAUGUGUUUUGGUUUUUUGU